rnacentral:rRNA from 1 species
UACGAAGGACCCGAGCGUUAUCCGGAUUUAUUGGGUUUAAAGGGUGCGUAGGCGGAUUUACAAGUCAGUGGUGAAAUCUCCCAGCUUAACUGGGAAACUGCCAUUGAAACUGUUUAUCUUGAGUACAUUUGAGGCGGGCGGAAUGUGUCAUGUAGAGGUGAAAUGCUUAGAUAUCGUCAAGAACACCGAUAGCGAAGGCAGCUUACUGGGCUGUAACUGACGCUGAGGCACGAAAGUGUGGGGAUCAAACAGG